rnacentral:rRNA from 1 species
UACAGAGGUCUCAACCGUUGUUCGGAUUCAUUGGGCGUAAAGGGCGCGUAGGCGGCCAUUCAAGUCGGAGGUGAAAGCCCAGGGCUCAACCCUGGAAUUGCCUUCGAUACUGUUUGGCUAGAGACCGGAAGAGGUAAGUGGAACUGCGAGUGUAGAGGUGAAAUUCGUAGAUAUUCGCAAGAACACCAGUGGCGAAGGCGGCUUACUGGUCCGGUUCUGACGCUGAGGCGCGAAAGCGUGGGGAGCAAACAGG